AAGAUUAAACUUCCAGGGAUAAUUUCUAUAGUUUGUAACUAGUAGAAUGGGCUUGAAAGUGUCUAAACUCAAUAACCACAAGCAAGAGCUUCAGGGUUUUUUUUUUGCUGAGCAUGAGAUGAGUUCCUGCUCUUCUUCUGUAUUUAAGCUGUUGGUUACUUUUAAUGUUUGUUCCAGGCUCCUUAAAUGGGGCUUAUAACAUAAUAAUUAUGAG